rnacentral:rRNA from 1 species
AUUGAACGCUGGCGGCAUGCUUUACACAUGCAAGUCGGACGAGUGGCGAACGGGUGAGUAAUAUAUUGGAACGUACCCAGUAAUGGGGGAUAACCAAUCGAAAGAUUGGCUAAUACCGCAUACUAUUCGAGCGGCCAAUAUCUGAUUAGCUAGUUGGUGGGGUAACGGCCUACCAAGGCGACGAUCAGUAGCGGGUCUGAGAGGAUGAUCGGCCACACUGGAACUGAGACACGGUCCAGACUCCUACGGGAGGCAGCAGUGGGGAAUAUUGGACAAUGGGCGCAAGCCUGAUCCAGCCAUGCCGCGUGUCUGAAGAAGGCCUUCGGGUUGUAAAGUACUUUUGUUAGGGAAGCGGUACCUGAAGAAGAAGCACCGGCUAACUACGUGCCAGCAGCCGCGGUAAUUC